rnacentral:rRNA from 1 species
AUUGAACGCUGGCGGCAGGCCUAACACAUGCAAGUCGAACGAGUGGCGGACGGGUGAGUAAUGUCUGGGAAACUGCCUGAUGGAGGGGGAUAACUACUGGAAACGGUAGCUAAUACCGCAUACCAUCGGAUGUACCCAGUGGGGAUAAGCUAGUAGGUGGGGGAACGGCUCACCUAGGCGACGAUCCCUCGCUGGUCUGAGAGGCUGACCAGCCACACUGGAACUGAGACACGGUCCAGACUCCUACGGGAGGCAGCAGUGGGGAAUAUUGGACAAUGUGCGCAAGCCUGAUGCAGCCAUGCCGCGGAUAUGAAGAAGGCCUUCGGGUUGUAAAGUACGUUCAGCGGGGAGGCGUUACCCGCAUAAGAAGCACCGGCUAACUCCGUGCCAGCAGCCGCGGUAAUUC